rnacentral:rRNA from 1 species
GCCCUUAGAGUUUGAUCCUGGCUCAGAACGAACGCUGGCGGCAGGCCUAACACAUGCAAGUCGAGCGCACCUUUCGGGGUGAGCGGCGGACGGGUUAGUAACGCGUGGGAAUAUAUCCUUUGGUACGGAAUAGCCUCUGGAAACGGAGAGUAAUACCGUAUGAGCCCUUCGGGGGAAAGAUUUAUCGCCAAAGGAUUAGCCCGCGUUAGAUUAGGUAGUUGGUGGGGUAAUGGCCUACCAAGCCUACGAUCUAUAGCUGGUUUUAGAGGAUGAUCAGCAACACUGGGACUGAGACACGGCCCAGACUCCUACGGGAGGCAGCAGUGGGGAAUCUUGGACAAUGGGCGCAAGCCUGAUCCAGCCAUGCCGCGUGAGCGAUGAAGGCCUUAGGGUCGUAAAGCUCUUUCGCCUGUGAAGAUAAUGACGGUAGCAGGUAAAGAAACCCCGGCUAACUCCGUGCCAGCAGCCGCGGUAAUAAGGGCG